rnacentral:lncRNA from 1 species
CCCAGGUCGCCGAUGCGAUUAUUAAUCAAUAAAGCGAUGGGGCUGGAGCGGAGAGCAGGCUGCAUGCACGCAGCAGGCCAAGGAAGCGGGAAAGAAAGACCCCCGCCCGUCGCUUCCCCUGCAGCUGGACCGGACGGGGAAAAGACCCAGCCCAGGCCGCCCACUCGGACGUAAGCUUCCGGCGUGCGCCUCCGAGCCCGCGCCGCCAGAGGGCGCAGCGCCCGGCCGGUGCGGCGGCGGCGGCGCUGCUGCUGCUUGUGUUUAGUUUUUCCCUGCAGAUGCGUGCCAGGGGUGGGGGCAGAAAAAGUCACAGCGGGCGAGGCGGGUCUCUCGGGGGGAGGCGAGAGGCGGCUGUUGCCGCAGAGGGGCGGCCUUGCCCUGCUCGGCUGGCUGACCCUUUCCCCCUGCUCGCGUGCCUCUUCCUUCCUCCGAGGCUCUUCGGAUUUCCAAGCAGCAUCCUCGGCAGGAGAGCGCAGGCGGAGAGGGACCACGCGCACUCAGAAGCUGCGGACGCGGACCUGCCGGAGAACGGGAAGGAGGCGUGGCUGCCUCAACCCCCGCCUGCGUAUUGGUCAGUUUCAAGCUUCGGGGCGGCGCCUGCAACGCGGGAAAGAUAAGAUUUGCAGAAGUUCCGCGCGCCGCCGGCACUGUCGUCUCCCCCACUGUCAUCGCUUGGUUUUUAGGCUUUGGGGAGCCCGUCCCCCUCGAUUUAACGCGGAUGCAUAAAGUGAUGAAUCCCCUGAAGGCUUGAGGCCAAUUGCUGAUGAAACAGAAAGGCAAAGGCUGUUUGGAGAAAAACCAUGAAACCUGUGAUGUCUGGCUGGAUACUUCAGCCCUCAAAAGGCGCAAGAAGCAGAUCCAAACAUGGAAGCCAUUAAGAACAGCGAAACAGACUUUUCCUUGUUCCAUUUCAAGAGAAUCAUCAUCUCUGUGCACUAAACAAACCACCAUACCCACCUUCUUCAGAGUUCAAAGAGAAGAGAAGAAAACCAUUGCACAGAAAAUGGUACAGGAGACUGCAUCGAACAGCAUGUCUGUGGUGAAAGAACAUGCGCUGCUAAACGUGAAAAUAAAACCCUUGUCAGCCUCACCACUUCAGACAGGAAUUGCACAAGAAGACAGCCAGCAACCAGGUCACAAUUCACAAAGCCUGCCAGUGUUGCUCCGUAGUUCUGCUUGUGCUAGAGCCACAAAUAACACCCACUUCCCCUUCUUUAUUAAGGAAAACAGUUGCUUUACAGACAGGGGAAAUCCUCUCUUAGAUUUCAGUCAGGGCCUAGAAGAAAAGAUGGUUCCUGAUAACAAAACUGUUUCUAGUUCGCCACGGAGAAACGAAAACAGAGAUCGGAAAAAAGACGUUCCCAGAACAUCUCAGACUAACCGACACCUGAAAGCACUCUCAAAAAAGAGAACAAAGGUUCGAAGAGGACGCAGGUAUUUGAUCCCUUACAGUGACAGCAGCUUUAUGGAUUCCUGUGACUCUGAAAAUAUAAACCCCCAGUUACAGCAAAGUCUGGUAGAAUUAAGCCCUUUGAAAAGUUGCAGCAGUUCUGCGGUUGACCUCUGUUUGAAAAACAGCAGUGCAAUUCAUGAUGGUGGCAAAGGCCAAGACAACCACCAGGAAGAUUCACUGAACCCUUCCUUAUUCACUCAGGACAGCGAGGGCCAACGGGUGAUUUCUCACCGCUGUUUCCAGGGACGCGACAAACUUUCUUUGCAAAAUAAGCUUCUCUGGGACACAAGCAACUUGCUAAUGAACCCGAGAGAAGGUCCCAGGUAG